UCAAACCUGCGGCCUGGUUCUCUGCUUGGUUACGCUAGUGAGUCCAGAGCACCUUCACCUACAAGCAGAGAGACGCUGGCUUUACCUGGGGUCACUGAGCGCAGGAUUCGUCUGGCUGUGCUUCGCUCUCAGACUGUCGAAGCUGCAUUUCUGCCCUGCCUCCGGGCAGAGCCCGCACUGCCCCAGCGCCGCUUGAGGAAGCAACGAGAACUCUGUGAUUCACAAAGAACCUUAUUCAAUAAAAGCAGCCUUGACACUCCUGAUGUGUUGUCAGAGGCCCUGCUCAGCUGAUUGCUUGUAAUGUCUGCGAUGAUGGAAACGUGGAUGCAACCCCUGAGAGAAUGGGCUGGAGAUGCUUGUCAUAACUUUAUCUGCGGGAAGCAAGCUCUUGUCGGCUGGGUGAUGGACGACCGAAAGCCGGGGCUGAAUGCGCGUCCCAGCUCGGCUUCAUUCGCUUGCUGAGCUACUCUGCAGGUGAGACCUUGGUACCUGAAUGGCAGGAGCUGCUUUUCAUCUCUCUGGCUCUGGUUCUUGGCCUGUUUGCGUCCCCCUGGCUCAGCUGUUUAGCUGCUGGUGACAAAUCAAGGCCCCCAUCCUGCAAGCCGCUCUGCAUAGGCACAGAGCUCUGCCUGUGGGGAGCCACAUGCAGGAUCAGGGCCUAAGUCACUGAGGUCGGCGCCAGGGCGGGAGGGGUAUGAAUGCUGAGUCCCUGGACAGCCCUAGCCUUUCCCUUUGUCUGGGGAAGCAGCUUCUCUCUGCAAGCAAACCACACAUACAUCCCCCACUGAGAGACAUUGUUUUAGGCUAUGCAGGGAGCUCCUGACUGGCUGGGUUUUCAGGGGUAGACAGCAAAGGCCCUGCUCCCCCCAACCUUUAGUUGAAUUGUACUUGGCCUUUCUACCAUGCCUUUCAGCUGAGGAUUUCAAAGUGCUUCCAUACAGAUGGGUACAUAGCAUUAUCUCCAUUUUACAGAUGAGGAAAUCUGAGGCUCAGAGAGGUUAGGUGAUAUGCCCAAGGCCACACAGCAAACCAGUGAGAAGUAGGAAUAGAACCCAGGUCUCCUGGCCCUCUGGUCUAACUGCUAGACGCACUGCAUUUCUUCCAGCAGCUGACCUACUUGUUACAGAAGUGGGGCCAAUAUAAUUUCUGGAGUAACCCCAUUGUCUUUAGGGGAUUUGUACCAGGGAUGGAUUGGCCCAUGGUUGUGCUCCUUUGGAAACUCUCAGUCAUGAGCCUAUGAAUCAACACUCCUUCCCUCCUGCAUGAAAAAUGCUUCUCCUUCUCAGCGCAUUUGGCCGCUCUCUCCUGGUAUCCAGACCAGGCUCCAGUUCAGAACCAGGACCAAGGGCACAUUGCUUUCCUCCAGCCCUACAGUCCCCUGGCGUUUUCUUUUUACUCAGUUUUGUUUCUGUAUUUGUUUUUCAUUUGCUAUUUUGUCCCCAUGCUCCAGCUCCCUUUAUUGGAUAAAACCACUGCAUGAUUGAAUCCUGCCCUGCAGCAGCUUGGACAGAAUUCAGUUUUGCAGACAGCAAUAAGGUGGUUUUGGAGCCUUGUGAAGCCAGGCAGAGUGUGAGAUGGGAACAUGUCCAAGAGAAGCUCUAGUCGCUGAAGACAGUUGCAUUGUCCUGUGCUUUAUGGUUUCACCCUCUGCCUUUCCAUUCUUCCCAGCGCACUUCAGAGCCCUGAGUAUUAGGGAACCCAUGGCAAGACAAUAAAAGCAAAAGGAAGGAAGCCCCCUGGUUAUUUUGAAAAGCUGAUGGGAGACAAGCAGAAGCUCUCAGAGACAGAGGGUCGACAAAAAGGUGGAGUUUGGGCCCCAAGAAAACCUGGGUCCUAAUCCAAUCUCUGAGACUGACUCCUGCUGUGGCCUCCCUUUCCCUCCUCAGUUUCCCAAUCUGUAAAAUCAGAAUGAUGCUACUUACCCACCUUUCUUGCAGGGGUUUCUGCAAGGAUGAAAUAGUUAGUGUCUGUAAAGUACUUGGGAGCUGGCAAGCUCUAAGAAAAUGCAAACUAUUAGUAAAGCUCUCACUUGCAGUUUAUGAAUUAGUAAUAACCUCUCUCUGCCUCACUUUCCCCACCUGUAAGCUGGACAUAGUAAGGCUCUGAGUCUGCAAAGAUUGACCCAUGUGCUGGACUUCACAUUUCCCCUUGAUGUCCAGGUGUGUAAGUCUUUGCAGGAUAUGGGUCAAUACUUACCUAAUUAAAUCUCACAGCCCCUCUGUAAGGUAAUCUCUGUGUGUAAACCACUGUGAGAUCUUUGGGUGAAGUAUAUGCCCAAGGUGGUAUCACACAGUGAAAGGAAAAACAUAAUUUUAGGCAGAUAAUAUCAUUCAACAGGAACAAAACGGGAGACGAGGGAAAUUAGAGCAACAAAACAUCAUGUCAUUUUGAAAUCAAAAGUGAAUGUUGUCUGAGGUUCAUAUGUAUGCCAGGUUUAUGCUCCUGUCUGUACGCUGUGGGUCAGCUCUUACCCCUUUCUGUACUUUACUUAUUUUGCAACUGCUUAUGUCUUAUUUAUUAGCAUCCCUUGUCAAGCUUUCCAAUAACUAUAUCAUGCUCACAAGUAUAUGUCAAUACCCAUAGAAUGACUGUGUUUUCCCUUCACAGCUGGAGAAUUAUCUGAAUACUCAAUAAAAGAAAGCAGAGGAUCCAAUAAUUAUCCUUUACUUGUCUCUUCUUUAGAGUGCAGAUUUGUUGAGUUAAUUUUGUCGUGACUAUCUCCUAGACUUUAUUGAAAC